rfam:Chitinophaga pinensis DSM 2588, complete genome.
UUAAUCCUGUCCGACAAGGUCUAGUCAACCACCGGAAGCGAGUCUUGCGUAGUCAUUAGAGAUGAUGGCACGAAGCGUAGACAGCGACUGCUGAAGGUAUGCUAUUGAGCCUCGAAACUGUCCUGGACGUUGAAGCUUUAGUUGUUCGAAAAGCUAAGGCAACAUCAAACCUGCGUUAUAGACGAGUGGGGGUGAUUCGACCGGGGUCUAAGAACA